rnacentral:rRNA from 1 species
GUGACCUCAAAUCAGGUAGGACUACCCGCUGAACUUAAGCAUAUCAAUAAGCGGAGGAAAAGAAACUAACAAGGAUUCCCCUAGUAACUGCGAGUGAAGCGGGAAAAGCUCAAAUUUAAAAUCUGGCAGUCUUUGGCUGUCCGAGUUGUAAUCUAGAGAAGUGUUAUCCGCGCUGGACCGUGUACAAGUCUCCUGGAAUGGAGCGUCAUAGAGGGUGAGAAUCCCGUCUUUGACACGGACUACCAGGGCUUUGUGAUGCGCUCUCAAAGAGUCGAGUUGUUUGGGAAUGCAGCUCAAAAUGGGUGGUAAAUUCCAUCUAAAGCUAAAUAUUGGCGAGAGACCGAUAGCGAACAAGUACCGUGAGGGAAAGAUGAAAAGAACUUUGGAAAGAGAGUUAAACAGUACGUGAAAUUGCUGAAAGGGAAACGCUUGAAGUCAGUCGCGUCGUCCAGGGAUCAACCUUGCUUUUGCUUGGUGCACUUUCUGGUUGACGGGUCAGCAUCAAUUUUGACCAUYGGAAAAAGAUCAGGGGAAUGUGACAUCUUUGGAUGUGUUAUAGCCCUUGGUUGCAUACGAUGGUUGGGAUUGAGGAACUCAGCACGCCGCAAGGCCGGGUUU